GGCCAGAUAGCUCAGUCGGUAGAGCAGAGGCCUGAAAAGCCUUGUGUCGCCGGUUCAAAUCCGGCUCUGGCCAC
rnacentral:tRNA from 2 species